GACGGACGCGGCGGCGUGCCUAAUACAUGCAAGUAGAACGCUGAAGGAGGAGCUUGCUUCUCUGGAUGAGUUGCGAACGGGUGAGUAACGCGUAGGUAACCUGCCUGGUAGCGGGGGAUAACUAUUGGAAACGAUAGCUAAUACCGCAUAAGAGUAGAUGUUGCAUGACAUUUGCUUAAAAGGUGCAAUUGCAUCACUACCAGAUGGACCUGCGUUGUAUUAGCUAGUUGGUGAGGUAACGGCUCACCAAGGCAACGAUACAUAGCCGACCUGAGAGGGUGAUCGGCCACACUGGGACUGAGACACGGCCCAGACUCCUACGGGAGGCAGCAGUAGGGAAUCUUCGGCAAUGGACGGAAGUCUGACCGAGCAACGCCGCGUGAGUGAAGAAGGUUUUCGGAUCGUAAAGCUCUGUUGUAAGAGAAGAACGAGUGUAAGAGUGGAAAGUUCACACUGUG
rnacentral:rRNA from 1 species